AGCAGCUUGGGACUCCUGAGCACCGGCUGAAAUCCAGACCUCCACUCAGCUAAAUACUGAUCCCAUCGUGCCUGCACUGUGUGGGUGGACUUCUCAUAGAGUUCAAUGGGACCGCACAGAUUUUCUCAGAUUUCCCAGCACAUGCAACUCCAUUAGGCCCAUCAAAAUUAAUAGGAAGGCAAGGCUGUGCAUGGAAGAAUACAGUUUUGUAAUCAUUUUGAAAAACAAAUGAAUCCAUAUUGUUGCAAGUAUGGAAGAACAUGCCUGCAACUAAGCAUCGAGGACUCCUAUGAAGAUACUCUGAGGUAUAUGGUUCAGCUUAACCUAAGGUCAAAAAAUGGACACCUUUAACUUUGGAAAUAUUUAUUACAAAGUCUAUUUGGACAGAAUGAGAAAGAUAUAUUGUUUCAGCUUGAGACAAGGCACUUCUGUUACUUGAGAGUUACUGCCUCAACUCACGUCAAGGCCCUAUGGAAAACAUGGACCACUUUCCAUACCUCAGGAGCCAUUCUUCAGCAAAGGCAAAUAUCAAUGAUAAAACUCACCACCAUCUUCAGUGCACUAACACAGCUUUUGGUCAAUUGGGGAAAAGGAUGCUUGAAGGUCAGGGCCUCAAACUGGCAUAAACUCAUAGUCUACCAGGCAGCAAUGAAUCAUGACCUCCUACAUGCUUCUGAGACCUGGACUAUCUGUAGCAGGAAUUUCAAGGCACUGGAAAGAUAUGCUACCUCUGCAAAAUCCUUCAAAUUCACUGAAAAGAUAAGCAAUAUCAGUCUCUUCUCACAAGCCAAUAUCCCCAUAAUUGAGGCCCUAGUGACACUCAGUUCCAUGGAGGAAACUAUGUCACAAACCUGAAACAUAUACUCUAUUUUGAACUCUACCGCAGGACGAUACAAGCAGGCAGACAUAGGAAAAUAUAUAAGGAUGUGCUCAGAGCAUCCUUGAAAAAAUGCAACAACUCCACCGACUUGGGAAUUCUAAGCCCGUGACCAUUCAGACUGGAGAAGAAACACUUGGGCUGAUAUUGAGAAUCUUGAGAGGUAGGGUCUGCGAUUCUCACAUUGGCCUCAUCAAUCAGCUCACAACCUGCAAAACCAGAGUGGAGGCAAGUCAUCCUCAAU